UUCUCGAGCGAGUGGCGAACGGGUGAGUAACGCGUGAGGAACCUGCCUCAAAGAGGGGGACAACAGUUGGAAACGACUGCUAAUACCGCAUAAGCCCACGGCUCGGCAUCGAGCAGAGGGAAAAGGAGCAAUCCGCUUUGAGAUGGCCUCGCGUCCGAUUAGCUAGUUGGUGAGGUAACGGCCCACCAAGGCGACGAUCGGUAGCCGGACUGAGAGGUUGAACGGCCACAUUGGGACUGAGACACGGCCCAGACUCCUACGGGAGGCAGCAGUGGGGAAUAUUGCACAAUGGGGGAAACCCUGAUGCAGCGACGCCGCGUGGAGGAAGAAGGUCUUCGGAUUGUAAACUCCUGUUGUUGGGGAAGAUAAUGACGGUACCCAACAAGGAAGUGACGGCUAACUACGUGCCAGCAGCCGCGGUAAAACGUAGGUCACAAGCGUUGUCCGGAAUUACUGGGUGUAAAGGGAGUGCAGGCGGGAAGACAAGUUGGAAGUGAAAUCUAUGGGCUCAACCCAUAAACUGCUUUCAAAACUGUUUUUCUUGAGUAGUGCAGAGGUAGGCGGAAUUCCCGGUGUAGCGGUGGAAUGCGUAGAUAUCGGGAGGAACACCAGUGGCGAAGGCGGCCUACUGGGCACCAACUGACGCUGAGGCUCGAAAGUGUGGGUAGCAAACAGGAUUAGAUACCCUGGUAGUCCACACCGUAAACGAUGAUUACUAGGUGUUGGGGGAUUGACCCCCUCAGUGCCGCAGUUAACACAAUAAGUAAUCCACCUGGGG
rnacentral:rRNA from 1 species